CUGUGCUAGACGGGGAGCUUGCGGUGCCCUGUAAACUGCAAUCCGCAACAGCAGUGCCGAACACCGCCUUAGGCUCUGGCUAUGGUUGGCAGCACAGUGCAAGGAGUGUUGAUAUCAAGGUCCCGUGCAAUGUCAUGCUGUGAACCGUGUCAGGGCUUGACCGCAGCAGCACUAAGCAGAUUUUGGCGUGUGCCACGGGGAAACUUUGAAGUAGCCACCUACACUGUUACCGCUUCGGUAGUCUUUGUCGACGGCGGCGCACAG
rnacentral:SRP_RNA from 1 species